rnacentral:rRNA from 1 species
AGUUUGAUCCUGGCUACGAGAACGACGCUGGCGGCAGGCUUAACACAUGCAAGUCGAGCGCACCGCAAGGUGAGCGGCAGACGGGUGAGUAACGCGUGGGAAUCUACCCAGUUCUGCGGAAUAACACAGGGAAACUUGUGCUAAUACCGCAUACGCCCUCCGGGGGAAAGAUUUAUCGGAAUUGGAUGAGCCCGCGUUAGAUUAGCUAGUUGGUGGGGUAAAGGCCUACCAAGGCGACGAUCUAUAGCUGGUCUGAGAGGAUGAUCAGCCACACUGGGACUGAGACACGGCCCAGACUCCUACGGGAGGCAGCAGUGGGGAAUAUUGGACAAUGGGCGAAAGCCUGAUCCAGCCAUGCCGCGUGAGUGAUGAAGGCCUUAGGGUUGUAAAGCUCUUUCAGUGGGGAUGAUAAUGACAGUACCCACAGAAGAAGCCCCGGCUAACUUCGUG